AGGGGCUUCCGGAACGGCGACGUGACGGGGGCCUUUUUCUUUUGC
rnacentral:antisense_RNA from 1 species